CAGCACCUCAAGUGGUCAGGAUGAUUAUUGGGCCUAAAGCAUCCGUAGCCGGCGCUGUAAGUUUUCGGUUAAAUCUGUACGCUCAACGUACAGGCUGCCGGGAAUACUGUAGCGCUAGGGAGUGGGAGAGGUAGACGGUACUCGGUAGGAAGGGGUAAAAUCCUUUGAUCUAUUGAUGACCACCUGUGGCGAAGGCGGUCUACCAGAACACGUCCGACGGUGAGGGAUGAAAGCUGGGGGAGCAAACCGGAUUAGAGACCCGAGUAGUCC
rnacentral:rRNA from 1 species